GCUGGUUGUGGUGGUGCACACCUGUAAUCCCAGUGACUCAGGAGGCUGAGGCAGGAGGAUCAUGAGUUCAAAGCCAGCCUCAGCAAAAGGGAGGCACUAAGCAACUCAGUGAGAGCCUGUCUCUA
rnacentral:sRNA from 1 species